AAGCCACCUUAAAGCUCACCUUGACCAUGCGUAUACCAAUGACCAAAUAAGCAGAUCUGGCAUGGGUCAAGGUGAAAGCUCACAGCAGGUUCAGAAUGUGCCGGUACAAGCUGUGACUAGUACUGAAAGUCAGCACACCAGUGAACAGAAAUCUCCAAAGCAGCAAGAAGAAGACAAAAAAUUAGAAUCCUCUCAAAAAGAAUUAAAAGACAGCUUACACAAACUUGAACCAAAAAAUGAAACUGUGUCCCCAGGAGGUGAUAGCACAGUGACAUUGGACGUGAACCCCACACCUGAAAUAACCCCAACAGUAUUUCAACAAAAUCCUCUGGUUGCAGCCACUUUGGGUGUGUCCAUUUCAGCUGUGUUAUUAUAUCGCCCAAGAUACUGGAAAAAGAACCCUCAUGUGAUUAAUACCGUUCCCAAACGGUGUUGGGAAGUUUUAAUAGGAAUGAUAUAUUAUGCAUUAGCAGUAGAAUUGCUGUUAGAGUCAACUGGAAGAAGUUUUAAUUCGAACUGGAAUCUAAAGAUGCAUAAGCUGCCAACUAAAAAAGAAGAUCAACCAUUAUCUGUCAAAGAUUGAUUUUGUUCUACCAAGUACAGCAUUUAUGCAGGAAACAAUAGAUCAAAAGACCUUUUUGAUAAUUGCUUUAAAAACAUUUACAAAAAAUUGUGCAGGAAACAACCAUUGUAGUUUUUGACAUUUUGUUCAUUGCAUGAAAACAGUUUGGUAUUCCACAACAUUGAAAAGGUGUCACAAAUUGACAAUGGGAUUUGAAACUGCAGGGAAAAGGACCCCAUGCAAAUCUUGCAUUAUCACUAGUGUUCUAACAAUGGGAGGUAUGGCUGGCUAUGUUAUUUGGGUGGCCAAGAAAAAUCCCCAAAAUUAUCAAGGCAACAAGAAGAUACUUUGGUUUGUGACAAGUUAUUGCCUGGCAGGAACAUUCCUUGGCCUUGCUUCCACAGUGGUAAUGAGGAGCUUGAGUACAAUUUCUAACACAGAUGAAGAGAUAAAAGAGAACAAGUGAUGUCAU
rnacentral:lncRNA from 1 species